UCAAAAUCAUCCUGUGUUAAGCCCUCCAUUUCUAAUACAAUAGCUCUAAUCUUGCUUAAGUCAGUUUUCAGGCCUCUGGACUUGCUGUAUGUUUGCUGUGCUUUCAACUGCUUGUCUUGCCCUCCCAGGCGCCGGCUUGUGGUGGCCGCGGACCGCAGACGCUGCCGCCUCCGUCCCGGCCGCCGCGCCCCACCCGGGGUCCCGGCUGGACUUCCAGUGCGGGGCGUGCGGCCGCGGCUACAUGCACAAGAAGACGCUGCUGCGGCACCAGCGGCUCGAGUGCGGCAAGGAGCCCUCGCUGCCCUGCCCGUUCUGCCCGCACCGGACCAAGUACCGCAGCAGCCUGCUCACGCACAUGACCAACAGGCACGGCGACCUCAUGAACAACAUGACCUGCACGCCCGCGCCCGGCCCGAGCUGACCGCCGCUCAGCACCGACAAUAAUUUGUACCCUUGUUUUAAAAUAAAUGCAAUUGUUACCAGAGCGUUUGGCGCCUUCUCUUGAUUAUUUUUGCGAGGCCGUCGUUGGCCGCCGGUUCCACCGCAACUGUGUUCUCUCCCUUGUCUGUCAUGUCUUCGACGCUGGUAUAACCGUUGUGACUUUUUCCAGGUGGCUGGUACUUACACCCCAACUCGUGCCCGACGUGCGGCAAGGUCUACAAGCUGCAGACGAGUCUGAAGCGACACAUUGCCGUCGAGUGCGGCAAGGCGCCGGCCAUCAGCUGCUCGCAGUGCGACUACCGCUCCCCGCACCGCCAGAACGUCCACCGCCACUUCCUGCGCAAGCACAGCAAGGCCCAGGGCGUCUACCGGCGCUAGGCCCGCCUCUAGCCCCGGCCCCGCCUGCGGGCCGCCACUAGCCGCGCCGGUUCGCUGGUCAGCCUGCUGGGCGAUCCCCUGGAGCCGCAGCUCAAGGAGCACGCCUGCGCACGCUGCGGCAAGGCGUACCGCUGGAAGCGCAACCUGUCGCGGCACCUCCGCGUCGAGUGCGGCAAGCCGCCGGCCUUCUCCUGCCCGUUCUGUUCCUACCGCUCGGCACACAAGACGCACGUGAACCGUCAUGUGGCGUGCAAGCACUCCGAGCACCCGAGCUGAAAUAAAUGACUAGUGAAGCCAGCCUGUUGCGUCUGUCCACCCCGCGCCCAGCCACGCCGAAACACACACAACACAACACAACACAACACGCCCGAUGACUUCUCGCCCGCACUGAUUGCUCGCCUGUCUCUAAUUUAUUUUGCAGAGAAGCCCUGGCCGUGGACGUGGGACUCCUCGCGGUUCCUGCCCGGCUCCGCUGCCGGCCCGCAGCCCAGUAACUUCACUACCGUCCUGCAGCCCAGCAACUUCACUGCCAGCCUGCAGCCCAGCAACUUCACUGCCGGCCUGCAGCCCAGCAACUUCACUGCCAGCCUGCAGCCCAGCAACUUCACUGCCGGCCUGCAGCCCAGCAACUUCACUGCCGGCCUGCAGCCCAGCAACUUCACUGCCGGCCCGCGCAUUCGGCCGCGCUGUGGGGCCGACCUGCUCGACUCCGGCCCGGCCGAGGGCCCAGCAGACAGCUCCGUCUUCAGUGAAGCCCUGGGCGUGGAGCUCCCAGCUGCCCCUGCCCGGCCCCGGCCCGCUGCCCGUCCUGCCCGCCGCCGGCCUGCUCGGCCCCGCCGUGCUGGGCCCCGGCCCUGGCCCUGGCCCUGGGUCGCUGUCCCCCAGCUCCGUCUUCACGUGCCCAAACUGUGGCAAGGGCUACUCGUACAAGGGCAACCUCAACCGGCACAUCCGCGUGGAGUGCGGCAAAGAGCCGCAGCUGUCGUGCCCGGUCUGCUUCAAGAUGUUCAAGCACAAGAGCAACAUGGAGAUGCACAUCGAGCGCGUUCACACUAACCACAAAUACGGCGAGGGGUCCUCGGCCCCCCUGUAGCGCGCGCCCCAGACUGCCGGGAUUGUGUUUGGACUGCCGCAAUACUUAGAUAGCUGCGAUAGACGAGUAUACGCGCCCCACGAUUUUGGAAGACUUCAUAAGAUUUCCUGCAGAUCGUCAUUAGAGUGCUGCGGGUGGUGACAUGGCCUUGCUGACGCCACGCGCCCCCCGCGGCUUGGGGCCCUUCCGGUGCUCUCAGUGCGACAAGGCCUACAAUUCCAAGGGCAGCCUGCAGCGCCACGUGAAGAUCGAGUGCGGCAAGGAGCCCGGCGUGCCCUGUCCGUACUGCGACACCAUGUUCAAACAUAAGAGCUCCGUCAUCACGCACAUCGUGCGAAAGCACCCGUUCUGAGGGAGGCAAGCGGGGAGGUGGAUGUGUUGGCUGUGUGACUGACUGUAGUUCAAAACAUUUUUUAAAAAUAAGAUUGGACCAUGCUGUGAGGUUAUACACUAAAAAACACAGGAGUGUGGAAUACUACCAAAGUUGUGUACACACAGUGGUCUUACAGUAUUGUGGAAUAACGGUACAAUUUAUUUGCACGUAUUGUGCUAUUCUCUAAUCAUAUAAUUUAUGGAGGAUAUGGCAGUGUUGUUGCUUAAUGUGAUGUUUCCUCCUUCAAUCUAUAUAUUUUUAAACUACGUGUGUUAUGCGUUAUGUAAUAAAUUCUGUAUUUUAACUAGUCUACUUUUAUUUUAUUUUCUGCCUCAUUCAGCUUGACGUCGACCCCGACCGCGCUGUGCGAAGCGCCGACCCUGCUCUGAUGACUCUGUUCUGUUGCAGGCUGCAGCCUGCCGGGCGCCUACGAGUGCCAAAUGUGCGGCAAGAUCUACAAGUGGAAGCACCACAUGCUGGCGCACGUGCGCGAGGACUGUGCGCGGAGCGUCCGUUACGAGUGCCACUUGUGCCCCUACUCCACCAAGCGCGCCCGCAACCUGCCCCCGCACGUCCUGCGCAUGCACGGCCCCGAGGCGGCCAGCUCCAUGGUCAGGCCCCGGCCCAAGAUCGCUGUGCCCCCGGAGCUGCUGCUCACGAACAGAGAGAAUAGUUUUUGAAUAAACGAGAGUGCACGCUAGUGAGCCGUGCCCCGCCAGCCAGUGGUCGCUGGCGCAGCUCGCGCAGCUACAGGGCCACGGUGCCUUCCAACAGAACAGCCGCCUGCCGGGCAGCUACCCGUGCCCGCAGUGCGGCAAGGUGUACCGCUGGAAGUGGAACCUGGUGGCGCACCUGCG